AAGUCGUAACAAGGUUUCCGUAGGUGAACCUGCGGAAGGAUCAUUACAUUCAGUAGCUUGCUACUGUUAGGGGGGUCUAUCAGCCUGUAUAGUAUCACUACUGAUGAGCAGCACGACCCUCUGUCUGUACCAUUGUCUUUUGCGCACUCAUGUUUCCUCGGCGGCUAACCCCCGCCGGCUGGACAACACUAUAACCUUUUUAAUUUUCAAUCAGCGUCUGAAAAACUUAAUAAUUACAACUUUCAACAACGGAUCUCUUGGUUCUG
rnacentral:misc_RNA from 1 species